rnacentral:rRNA from 1 species
AUGGAAGAGGAGAUAGAAACCCCUAGAGAUCCGAAGCCAUGUGGGCCUUUGGAGGAGUACCGCAUUCCAGAUUACGUCUUGAGACCAGAUGCCCAACAAGUACUUGUUGAUCAUGCUCCACAGUGUCCUGUAUUAGUGUUCAUCAAUUCUAAAUCUGGCGGUCAACUUGGAAGUAGUUUGAUCAAAACAUACCGUGAACUUCUGAAUGAAGCCCAGGUUAUUGAUCUCUCAGAAGAGGCUCCGGAUAAGGUUUUGCAGCGUUUAUAUGUGAAUGUUGAAAGGCUCAAGAUGGAAGGAGACAUUCUUGCCGUUCAAAUUUGGAGGACUAUGAGAUUAAUUGUUGCAGGUGGCGAUGGUACAGCGAGUUGGUUGCUUGGGGUCGUCAGUGAUCUUAAGCUUUCCCACCCACCUCCAAUUGCCACCGUACCUCUGGGAACUGGAAACAACCUUCCAUUUUCAUUUGGAUGGGGAAAGGAGAAUCCUUCUACAGACCAAGAGGCUGUAAAAUUAUUCCUUGGGCUUGUGAAGCAUGCAAAAGAGAUUAAAAUUGAUAGCUGGCAUCUAAUUUUGAGGAUGCGAGCUCCAAAAGAAGGUCCGUGUGAACCCAUUGCUCCUUUAGAGUUGCCUCAUUCACUUCAUGCGUUCCACCGUGUGUCAAGUGGUGACUCCCACGAUGUGGAAGGUUACCACACAUUCCGCGGAGGAUUUUGGAAUUACUUUAGUAUGGGGAUGGAUGCAGAAAUAUCUUAUGCAUUUCAUACUGAAAGGAAGAGAAAUCCAGAUAAAUUCAAAAAUCAGCUGACAAAUCAGGGACAAUAUGCUAAGCUUGGACUUAAACAAGGAUGGUUUUGCGCUUCUCUAAGUCAUCCGUCUUCGAGGAAUAUUCCUCACUUUGCAAAGGUGAAGGUCAUGAAAAAGCCUGGUGGCCACUGGGAAGAACUACAAAUUCAUCACAGCAUUCGAUCAAUCGUCUGUGUGAACCUACCUAGUUUUUCCGGAGGUUUGAAUCCAUGGGGCGAUCCUGGCGCAAGGAGAAUAAAUACGGAGUUCACACUGCCUUACGUCGAUGAUGGCCUUAUUGAGGUUGUCGGGUUCCGCGAUGCUUGGCACGGGCUGGUUCUGUUGGCUCCUAAUGGGCACGGCCAUCGCCUUGCACAGGCCCACAGGAUCCGCUUCGAGUUCCACAAAGGCGUGGUGGACCACACCUUCAUGAGGGUCGACGGGGAACCUUGGAAGCAGCCCCUCCCAAAGGACGAUGACACUAUUGUCAUUGAGAUCUCACACCAAGGCCAGGUGACCAUGCUAGCAAACGAACCCUGCAAGUCAAUGAGCCUCAGUGACCCGUUGUCGUCACACGGCCACAACGACCACAGUGACGAACACAAGAACGACGUGGAUGACGAGGAGUGGGAGGAUGGCAGGAGGAAGUUUGGGGCUGCGGAGACCUUCAAGCUCCCUGAUGAGAUCGACAUUGCUCAUCUCAGCUGA